AUGUAGGGCAAUCUGUCUUUAAGUAGGGAUAAAUUACUCUAAAAGAAAUGAAUUGUAGCUAGUUUUCCUUUCAAAUCAAGUGUCCUUU
rnacentral:pre_miRNA from 1 species